AAUUUGCUGGCUGCGUGCUUCACAUGCAAGUCCAACGCUGAAGCCGACAGCUUGCUGUUGGUGGAUGAGUGGCGAACGGGUGAGUAACACGUGAGUAACCUGCCCCUGAUUUCGGGAUAAGCCUGGGAAACUGGGUCUAAUACCGGAUACGACCACCUGACGCAUGUUGGGUGGUGGAAAGUUUUUCGAUCGGGGAUGGGCUCGCGGCCUAUCAGCUUGUUGGUGGGGUAAUGGCCUACCAAGGCGACGACGGGUAGCCGGCCUGAGAGGGCGACCGGCCACACUGGGACUGAGACACGGCCCAGACUCCUACGGGAGGCAGCAGUGGGGAAUAUUGCACAAUGGGGGAAACCCUGAUGCAGCGACGCAGCGUGCGGGAUGACGGCCUUCGGGUUGUAAACCGCUUUCAGCAGGGAAGAAGCGAAAUUGACGGUACCUGCAGAAAAUUACCGGCAAGUAUU
rnacentral:rRNA from 1 species